rnacentral:pre_miRNA from 1 species
GCAAACCCUGAGUUUCCGUCUUAUAUGAAAUUUUUUUAUAAUUAGUAUUUUCAUUGUUGUUAGAUGAUAAAACAUGAUUAAUACUUUAGGCGUGACUUAUCUUUUUAACUUUUUUUAUAAUUUUUUCAAAUAAGACGUACGGUCAAACGUUGGACACGAAAAAC